AGUUUUAUAGUCUAAAAAAGAUUUUAAAUUGCAAAUUUAAAGAUGAGUUAUUUCUAAGGCUU
rnacentral:tRNA from 1 species